CCACAUGCCUUUCUCGGGGGUCCCACCUCCUACAUCGUUUUAGGAAUAGACUGCAUGUGCACGGGGCAGGCCCACGGAAACCGAGCCGAGGGCUGUGAUUGCUAACUUCGAGGCUGACUUAUCUACUGCCUUACAAAGACUGCCCAGGCAAAGUGGAGCGGCAGCCUUCUCCCUCUUGUGCUGAAAGGUUUGUGGCUGGCCGCACCCUGUCAUCAGUUCUGUGGAUCUGUGAACUUCUCCCUGUAUUUGGAACCACAAAAUAAUUUGUUGGUGAUUCUUCAUAAUUCAGAAAUUUAAAGAGCUCUUCAUUUUCUCCAUCUUCACCACACCUCAUCUUUUACACAUUUCUAUAUCCCCUUUAAUUUUGGACUUCCUUCUGUAAGUAGUGCUUGAAACUCACGAUUUGCUGAUAUCAGCAACUAUAAAAUUCUCCAACUUUCCCUAA
rnacentral:lncRNA from 1 species